UACGUAGGGGGCGAGCGUUGUCCGGAUUUAUUGGGCGUAAAGAGCGUGUAGGCGGUUCGGUAAGUCUGUCGUGAAAUCCUGAGGCUCAACCUCGGGCGUGCGAUGGAUACUGCCGGGCUAGAGGAUGGUAGAGGCGAGUGGAAUUCCCGGUGUAGCGGUGAAAUGCGCAGAUAUCAGGAGGAACACCAAUUGCGAAGGCAGCUCGCUGGGACGUUACUGACGCUGAGGAGCGAAAGCGUGGGGAGCGAACAGG
rnacentral:rRNA from 1 species